rnacentral:rRNA from 1 species
GACGAACGCUGGCGGCGUGCUUAACACAUGCAAGUCGAACGGAAAGGCCCUGCUUUUGUGGGGUGCUCGAGUGGCGAACGGGUGAGUAACACGUGAGUAACCUGCCCUUGACUUUGGGAUAACUUCAGGAAACUGGGGCUAAUACCGGAUAGGAGCUCCUGCUGCAUGGUGGGGGUUGGAAAGUUUCGGCGGUUGGGGAUGGACUCGCGGCUUAUCAGCUUGUUGGUGGGGUAGUGGCUUACCACGGCUUUGACGGGUAGCCGGCCUGAGAGGGUGACCGGCCACAGUGGGAUUGAGAUACUGCCCAGACUCCUAUGGGAGGCAGGAGUGGGGUAUAUUGCACAAUGGGCGGAAGUAUGAUGCAGCAGCGCCGCGUGCGGGAAGACGGCCUGCGCGUUGUAAACCGCAUUCUCCUGUGACGAAGCGUGAGUGACGGUAAUGGGUAAAGAAGCAACGGCUAACUACGUG